CACCCUUGUAGUGUUGAUGUUCUAACGUCGACCCCUAAUCGGGGUUGCGGACAGUGCCUGGUGGGUAGUUUGACUGGGGCGGUCUCCUCCCAAAGAGUAACGGAGGAGCACGAAGGUGGGCUAAUCACGGUUGGACAUCGUGAGGUUAGUGCAAUGGCAUAAGCCCGCUUGACUGCGAGAAUGACAAUUCGAGCAGGUGCGAAAGCAGGUCAUAGUGAUCCGGUGGUUCUGAAUGGAAGGGCCAUCGCUCAACGGAUAAAAGGUACUCCGGGGAUAACAGGCUGAUACCGCCCAAGAGUUCAUAUCGACGGCGGUGUUUGGCACCUCGAUGUCGGCUCAUCACAUCCUGGGGCUGAAGUCGGUCCCAAGGGUAUGGCUGUUCGCCAUUUAAAGUGGUACGCGAGCUGGGUUUAGAACGUCGUGAGACAGUUCGGUCCCUAUCUGCCGUGGGCGUUGGAAGAUUGAAGGGGGCUGCUCCUAGUACGAGAGGACCGGAGUGGACGAACCUCUGGUGUUCGGGUUGUGUCGCCAGACGCAUUGCCCGGUAGCUAAGUUCGGAAUCGAUAACCGCUGAAAGCAUCUAAGCGGGAAGCGAGCCCUGAGAUGAGUCUUCCCUGAUACUUUAAGUAUCCUAAAGGGUUGUCGGAGACUACGACGUUGAUAGGUCAGGUGUGUAAGUGCUGUGAGGCAUUGAGCUAACUGAUACUAAUUGCCCGUGAGGCUUAACCAUACAACACCCAAGGGGUUU
rnacentral:rRNA from 1 species